CGCGCCAGCGUCCCCAGCUCCGCGGCGGUUUCGCCCGCGAGUCCAGAGGCAGGCGAGAGGCUCGGUCACCCCCACCGGCCCCAUGGCAGCCCCCGGCGCCCCAGCUGAGUACGGCUACAUCCGGACCGUCCUGGGCCAGCAGAUCCUGGGACAACUGGACAGCUCCAGCCUGGCGCUGCCCUCCGAGGCCAAGCUGAAGCUGGCGGGGAGCAGCGGCCGCGGCGGCCAGACCGUCAAGAGCCUGCGGAUCCAGGAGCAGGUGCAGCAGACCCUCGCCCGGAAGGGCCGCAGCUCCGUGGGCAACGGAAAUCUUCACCGAACCAGCAGUGUUCCUGAGUAUGUCUACAACCUACACUUGGUUGAAAAUGAUUUUGUUGGAGGCCGUUCCCCUGUUCCUAAAACCUAUGACAUGCUACAGGCUGGCACAUCUGCCACUUAUGAAGGUCGCUGGGGAAGAGGAACAGCACAGUACAGCUCCCAGAAGUCCGUGGAAGAAAGGUCUUUGAAGCAUCCUCUGAGGAGACUGGAGAUUUCUCCUGACAGCAGCCCGGAGAGGGCUCACUACACACACAGCGAUUACCAACACAGCCAGAGAAGCCAGGCUGGGCACACCCUGCGCCACCAAGAAAGCAGGCGGGCUGCCCUCCUAGUGCCACCGAGAUAUGCUCGUUCCGAGAUCGUGGGGGUCAGCCGUGCUGGCACCACAAGCAGGCAGCGCCACUUUGACACAUACCACAGACAGUACCAGCAUGGCUCUGCUAGCGACACCGUUUUUGACAGCAUCCCUGCCAACCCGGCCCUGCUCACGUACCCCAGGCCAGGGACCAGCCGCAGCAUGGGCAACCUCUUGGAGAAAGAGAACUACCUGACGGCAGGGCUCACCGUCGGGCAGGUCAGGCCACUGGUGCCCCUGCAGCCUGUCACUCAGAACAGGGCUUCCAGGUCCUCCUGGCAUCAGAGCUCCUUCCACAGCCCCCGCAUGCUGAGGGAAGCUGGGCCCAGUGUCGCCGUGGAUUCCAGUGGGAGGAGAGCGCACUUGACCGUCGGCCAGGCGGCGGCAGGGGGAAGUGGGAAUCUGCUCACCGAGAGAAGCACUUUCACUGACUCCCAGCUGGGGAAUGCAGACAUGGAGAUGACUCUGGAGCGAGCAGUGAGUAUGCUCGAGGCAGACCACAUGCCGCCGUCCAGGAUUUCUGCUGCAGCCACUUUCAUACAGCACGAGUGCUUCCAGAAAUCUGAAGCUCGGAAGAGGAUUAACCAGCUUCGUGGCAUCCCCAAGCUUCUGCAGCUCCUAAAAGUUCAGAAUGAAGACGUUCAGCGAGCUGUGUGUGGGGCCUUGAGAAACUUACUGUUUGAAGACAAUGACAACAAAUUGGAAGUGGCUGAACUAAAUGGGGACCUCGGCUGCUCCAGGUGCUGAAGCAAACCAGAGACUUGGGGACUAAAAAACAAAUAACAGGUUUGCUGUGGAAUUUGUCGUCUAAUGACAAACUAAAGAAUCUCAUGAUAACAGAAGCAUUGCUUACACUGACAGAGAAUAUCAUCAUCCCCUUUUCUGGGUGGUCUGAAGGAGACUACCCAAAAGCAAAUGGUUUGCUCGAUUUUGACAUAUUCUACAACGUCACUGGAUGCCUAAGAAACAUGAGUUCUGCUGGCCCUGAUGGAAGAAAAGCAAUGAGAAGAUGUGACGGACUCAUUGACUCACUGGUCCAUUAUGUCAGAGGAACCAUUGCAGAUUACCAGCCAGGUGACAAGGCCACGGAGAAUUGUGUGUGCAUUCUUCAUAACCUCUCCUACCAGCUGGAGGCAGAGCUCCCGGAGAGAUAUUCCCAGAAUAUCUAUAUUCAAAACCGGAAUAUCCAGACUGACAACAACAAAAGUAUUGGAUGUUUUGGCAGUCGAAGCAGGAAAGUAAAAGAGCAAUACCAGGACAUGCCGAUGCCAGAGGAAAAGAGCAACCCCAAGGGCGUGGAGUGGCUGUGGCACUCCAUCGUCAUAAGGAUGUAUCUGUGCUUGAUCGCCAAGAGUGUCCGUAACUACACACAGGAAGCAUCCUUAGGAGCUCUGCAGAACCUCACGGCCGGAAGUGGACCAAUGCCGACAUCAGUGGCUCAGACAGUUGUCCAGAAGGAAAAUGGCCUGCAGCACACCCGAAAGAUGCUGCAUGUCAGUGACCCAAGUGUGAAAAAGACAGCCAUCUCGCUGCUGAGGAAUCUGUCCCAGAAUCUUUCUCUGCAGAAUGAAAUUGCCAUAGAAACUCUCCCUGAUUUGGUUUCCAUCAUUCCUGACACAGUCCCAAGUACUGACCUUCUCAUUGAAACUACAGCCUCUGCCUGUUACACAUUGAACAAUGUAAUCCAAAACAGUUACCAGAAUGCACGGGACCUUCUAAACACAGGGGGCAUCCAGAAAAUUAUGGCCAUUAGUGCAGGCGAUGCCUCUGUCUCCAACAAAGCAAGUAAAGCUGCUUCCGUCCUCCUGUAUUAUCUGUGGGCACACACGGAACUGCAUCAUGCCUGCAAGAAGGCUCAGUUUAAGAAGACAAAUUUUGUCAACAGCCAGACUGCCAAAGCCUACCACUCCCUUAAAGACUGAGGAAAAUGACAAAGUAUUCUCAGCUGCAAAAAUCCCCAAAGGAAAACACCUAUUUUUCUACUACCCAGCCCAAGAAACCUCAAAAGCGUGCCUUGUUUCUAUCUUUUUCUAUUUCCAUGGUCCCCUGAAUCCAGAAAACAAAUAGAACAUAAUUGUAUGAGUCUUCCAGAAGACUUUUGCAAGUUUGCCACCAGUAGAUACUGGCCACAGGCACUACAAAUAGUGGUCUUUGUUAUUAGGGCUUAUGGUGCAUGGCCUCCUGGAACCAAAAUGUGAGUUCAUGUGGAAGGGACAUUAAUCCAAUAAAUAAGGAAAGAAGCUGUUGCAUUACUGGGAUUUAAAAGUUUGAUUUACAUUUAUAUUCCUUUUCCAAUUCCCAUGUUUUGUCACUCCUGUGCACAUUGCUUUGCCAUUGGGCCACCAGUGUAUUGUUCUGCAGUGUUGAAACAGAAUGGAAAUGACAAGAAAUAUCUGCAGUUAUCCAGGAGAAAGUAUAAUGGCAAAAUUAUUGGUUUCUUUCUUUACUUUGUGCUUGUUUUUAUCCCCUCAGGUUUUUUUUCUCUGAUUUUUAAAUAAACUUAAGAAAUUAAAAAAAAAAAAAAAGAAUGGUCUAUUGAGAAGUGCAGGCAACACAAAAAUAUGAGUAAAUGCCCUAACCAGUCAGAUAACUUUAAGACCCAAGUGAACUUAACUAAAAUACAUUCCUAGUUCCCAUACAAUUUUAUACACACAUGUACUCAUGCACACACACUGAACACCCUGCAUGGCAUAAAUAUCAUACUUUUGACCCAAAGAAAAAUCACAACCCCUACAAUAAACCAAAUUAUGGUUAGCCUAAUGCUAUAACCAAUUAAAUCCCUGAUAGCCCUCCAUGACUGACUCCCACUACCAACAACACAUCAUCUCUGGAGCCCCUGUGUUUCCCAGCCUCUCAUAGACAAGUUUAUCAAAACAUUCCCCAUAUGAAGACCCACCAGGCCCUACUUUCCAAACAACCACU